GAUGAACGCUGGCGGCGUGCCUAAUACAUGCAAGUCGAGCGAACAGAUUAGGAGCUUGCUCCUCUGACGUUAGCGGCGGACGGGUGAGUAACACGUGGAUAACCUACCUAUAAGACUGGGAUAACUUCGGGAAACCGGAGCUAAUACCGGAUAAUAUAUUGAACCGCAUGGUUCAAUAGUGAAAGACGGUUUUGCUGUCACUUAUAGAUGGAUCCGCGCCGCAUUAGCUAGUUGGUAAGGUAACGGCUUACCAAGGCAACGAUGCGUAGCCGACCUGAGAGGGUGAUCGGCCACACUGGAACUGAGACACGGUCCAGACUCCUACGGGAGGCAGCAGUAGGGAAUCUUCCGCAAUGGGCGAAAGCCUGACGGAGCAACGCCGCGUGAGUGAUGAAGGUCUUCGGAUCGUAAAACUCUGUUAUUAGGGAAGAACAAAUGUGUAAGUAACUAUGCACGUCUUGACGGUACCUAAUCAGAAAGCCACGGCUAACUACGUG
rnacentral:rRNA from 1 species